GACGAACGCUGGCGGCAUGCCUAAUACAUGCAAGUCGAGCGAACAGAUGAAGUGCUUGCACUUCUGACGUUAGCGGCGAACGGGUGAGUAACACGUAAGGAAUCUACCUAUAAGCGGGGGAUAACAUUCGGAAACGGGUGCUAAUACCGCAUAAUAUCUUCUUCCGCAUGGAAGAAGAUUGAAAGACGGCUCUGCUGUCACUUAUAGAUGACCUUGCGGUGCAUUAGUUAGUUGGUGGGGUAACGGCCUACCAAGACGAAGAUCCAUAGCCGAGCUGAGAGGGUGAGCGGCCACAUUGGGACUGAGACACGGCCCAAACCCCUACGGGAGGCAGCAGUAGGGAAUCGUCCGCAAUGGGCGAAAGCCUGGCGGAGCAAUGCCGCGUGAGUGAAGAAGGCCUUCGGGUCGUAAAACUCUGUUAUAAGAGAAGAACAAAUUGUAGAGUAACUGCUACAGUCUUGACGGUAUUUUAUCAGAAAGCCACGGCUAACUACGUGCCAGCAGCCGCAGUAA
rnacentral:rRNA from 1 species